AACGAACGCUGGCGGCAGGCCUAACACAUGCAAGUCGAGCGAACCUUCGGGUUAGCGGCGGACGGGUUAGUAACGCGUGGGAACGUGCCCUUCUCUACGGAAUAGCCCAGGGAAACUUGGAGUAAUACCGUAUACGCCCUUUGGGGGAAAGAUUUAUCGGAGAAGGAUCGGCCCGCGUUGGAUUAGGUAGUUGGUGGGGUAAUGGCCUACCAAGCCGACGAUCCAUAGCUGGUUUGAGAGGAUGAUCAGCAACACUGGGACUGAGACACGGCCCAGACUCCUACGGGAGGCAGCAGUGGGGAAUUUUAGACAAUGGGGGAAACCCUGAUCUAGCCAUGCCGCGUGAGUGAUGAAGGCCUUAGGGUUGUAAAGCUCUUUCAGCUGGGAAGAUAAUGACGGUACCAGCAGAAGAAGCCCCGGCUAACUCCGUGCCAGCAGCCGCCGUAA
rnacentral:rRNA from 1 species